rnacentral:snRNA from 2 species
AGCUUUGUGCAGUGGCAGUAUCGUAGCCAAUGAGGUUUAUCCAAGGCACGAUUAUUGCUAACUGAAAACUCAUUUAGGUCCUUCUGUGAAAGCCAAGUACUUGAGGUACAUGUCAAUAUACAUGCAUUGGUGUUUAACUAUAGACAGUGUGACAAAGAACUAUUGUAAACUGUUAACAU